GAUGAACGCUGGCGGCGUGCCUAAUACAUGCAAGUCGAGCGAACAGACGCUGCUCUUGCUCCUCUGACGUUAGCGGCGGACGGGUGAGUCACACGUGUAUCCCCUCCCUAUCAGACUGGGAUCACUUCGGGACACCGGCUCUAAUACCGGAUAAUCUCUUGCACCGCAUGGUUCAAUAGUAAAAUUCGGUUUUUCUGUCACUUCUCGCUGGAUCCGCGCCGCAUUAGCUAGUUGGUAAGGUAACGUCUUACCAAGGCAACCAUGCGUAGCCGACCUGCGAGGGGGAUCGGCGACACUGGAAGGGAGACACGGACCAGACGACUACGGGAGGGAGCAGUAGGGAAUGUUCCGCAAUGGGCGAAAGCCUGACGGAGCAACGCCGCGUGAGAGAUGAAGGUGUUCGGAGCGUAAAACUCUGUUAUGAGGGAAGAACAAAUGUGUAAGGAACUAUGCACGGCUUGACGGUACCGAAUCAGAAAGCCACGGCUAACUACGUG
rnacentral:rRNA from 1 species